rnacentral:rRNA from 1 species
UUAAGUCCCGCAACGAGCGCAACCCCUAUUGCUAGUUGCCAUCAUUCAGUUGGGCACUCUAGCGAGACUGCCGGUAAUAAACCGGAGGGAGGUGGGGAUGACGUCAAAUCAUCAUGCCCCUUAUGACCUGGGCUACACACGUGCUACAAUGGUUGGUACAACGAGUUGCGAGUCGGUGACGGCGAGCUAAUCUCUUAAAGCCAAUCUCAGUUCGGAUUGUAGGCUGCAACUCGCCUACAUGAAGUCGGAAUCGCUAGUAAUCGCGGAUCAGCACGCCGCGGUGAAUACGUUCCCGGGCCUU